AUCUGAUACUUAGGGUUGAUACCCUCAUGCAUGGAACAUGUAUGUGCAUGGAACCUCCGUGGCAUCCACUAAUUUUUGCAACGGCUUUGUAAAAAUACUUGAAAAGCGACGAAACUAUAUAGGAUGUGGAAUUAAUGAAAGGAACUAGUUUCAAUUUUUAUAUACUAAGGUUUAAUCUGGGUUGCACUAGUUAACGGCUAAUUUAAGAAAGCUUGAAAAAUUCACUACCUGGUGGAUUGCACCAUCCGGCUCUCGUACAACUGGCCCCAGGUUUCUUGAGAGUUAGCCUGCCUCGUACCCAGGCGCUUUAAAUAAUUAUACAUGAAGUUUUCAGGCAUGCGACGCGCGAAGGGGCUGUUGCACUCUUCCCAUCAGCCCCUUCGCCCAUCUCUCCCCACUACAAUACUUCAUGUAAACUCGUCAUAUGCGCAUCACUGUUUUUUU